UACAGUCCAACAAUGGGACUUGCAAGAAAGAUUUUAAUGCUCCGUGAGCGUAAGGGCGUAAAAGGAAAUCGAAAAAUAACUGAAUGGCUUCAAAAAAACAGGCUAAUGUCUUCAACGAAGAAAUGCAGAAUAUGUAAAAAAAAAAAUGAAAUUAAGGAAGACGCAAAACAAAGAUGGAUACCAAUGGAUAUGUCAACGAAGAGCACACAAUGAAAAAGUGACAAAAUCAUGCAGGUCAGGAUCAAUAUUCGACAAGACCAAGACAAGUUUACAAAAUUGGAUGACUUUUAUAUACAGAUUCAGUCAAGGUUUACGUUUACGCCAAGUCGACAUGGUCCAGGAUGGCAUUGCUGGAAGCUCCGCCACCCUUACUAAAAUGACCCGUAAACUGAGAUUAGUCUGCAGGAAAGCCUUGAAGAUGUUCAAAAGGAAGACAGGACAACGCAUGGGUGGAAGAAGGGAAUUUAUUGUGAUAGAUGAAAGCAACAUCCGUCAUAAAAGGAAGGUGGGAUAUCCUUUUUGUAACUAUUUUUUAAAAAGUGAAAACAUGUAAGGUGGAACAACUGAAAUACAAUAUCUAUAUCAAAUUUCAAUAGUGAUAUUUGAUGCAUCAAUUAAUCAUUUCUUUAAAUUGGUUAUUUUUAUUGAACCAGAUGAACCCAUUCUGAACUAAACUGUAUCAUCAACUGUA